AACAAGCCCUGCGUUACAUAAGACGUCGCAGCUUCAUUGUCGUUCAUUAGCGAGCUGGAAUUUGGUGACAAAUUGAUUUAGUUGAAUCAUCAGGUUUUCGUGGUACGAGGAACUAAGAUGAAUAUAGCGAGCGUACAGACUGUAUUGGGGCCAGUGAGACCAUCUGAACUUGGCAGAACCUUGACCCAUGAACAUUUUGCACUUGAUUUUGAAAAAUUUUAUACACCACCGCCGGACAGUCUUAAGUCUGAUUUAGACAAGAAAAUUGAGCUGUGUAAUGUAGGAUACGUUAGGCAAUAUCCGUAUGGUAGCCAUUACAAUAUUACUUUCAAUGAUCCCGAUACCCAUGCGGCUGUGUUGAAAGACGUGAAGCUGUUCAAAAAGUUUGGUGGUGGAACAAUUGUUGAGAAUACUAAUCACGGGAUAAAAAGGGACAUUUCUUUGAUGAAAAAUAUUUCCUUGGAAACUGGCGUACACGUUAUCACCGGAACUGGUCAUUACGUUUCUCUGACGCAAAGCAAGAGUGCGCUGUCGGCGAGUAAGGAAGAAAUGUACGAUCUUAUUAUGCAAGAAAUGACAAUUGGAUGUAAUGGGAAUCCAGAAGUUAAAGCUGGAUUUAUUGGAGAAGUUGGUAGCGCUUGGCCUAUCGAUGACUUUGAGAGAAAAGCAAUUCAAGCAGCUGGUGAAGCUCAGGCCCAGCUCGGUUGCCCUGUGAGUUUUCAUCCUGGACGAGAUCCUAGGGCACCGUUUGAAAUAAUUCGACUUUAUAUGGAAGCUGGUGGUGCUGUCACUAAAGCUAUUAUGUCUCACUUAGAUCGCACUUUCAUUACCGAGGAGAGUUUGCUGGAAUUUUCUACGUCUGGUUGCUUCUGUCAGUAUGAUCUUUUCGGUACGGAGUGCUCGUAUUAUCAACUGAAUCCAUCAACCGACAUGCUGUCCGAUGCUCAGAGAAUCGACAGGGUGAAGCUUCUACGGGACGAAGGAAAACUGGAUAGGAUUCUCUUGAGUCAUGACAUUCACACGAAACAUCGUCUGAUCGAUUUUGGAGGGCAUGGAUAUUCGCAUAUAUACAAUAACGUUUUACCAAAAAUGAUCAUCAAGGGAUUUACUCAAGAUGAGAUAGACGUAAUCACUAUUGAGAAUCCGAAGACUUGGUUGUCGCCAUGAAUCCAUUAACUCUUGUAUUAAACAUCACCUACCGCAUCGCUAAUUACACUAUUCCAUUUUACAAGGAAACAUAAAAAUAUCUCACUCGAAGGAUAGAUUCUUCAGUUUUUUUUUCAAUUUAGCCAGACGUUGUGCAAUGUUUCAUAAUUCAAACUGUAAUCGACCUACGUCGAUCGAGACUAUUUAUAUUCGUAACAAAACGCCUAAAAAGGCUUAUAUGUUUAUGUCCGAAUCUUAGUCAUUGCUCAGACUGCCUAUUAUUACUUUUUUUUUACAUACAUAGUCUUUAUUACUUUACGAGUGACUGACCUAUUGGCAUGCAGGAAAGUAUUCGACAUGUGGAAACCGACACGAAAUAAUGAAAUGUUUCUCGUAAGAUGAAUCACAGGCAUGAGUCAAAUACGGAUUGACGCGUUCUUGACCGUUAUUAAAAGCAAAAGGAACUAUCAGACAGACCGGUCUUCGAGCGUGGGAUGUCCCCUUCAUCCGGUUCCUCUUUUAUGCAUAAAUUAUUCUAAAUUAAGAAUAAAACCGAACAUCGUUAAAACAGGAUAUAACAAGGAAACGAGACACAGCAUAUCAGGAUAAAUUCUGCAGAAUAAGUUCCUAACGAAUGUCUUGGCGCAAUAAAUCAGAGGACGGAAAAAAAAGCAAAAGAAAAUUAUAAUUAGGACAAUUAUAACAAUAAGAUGCAUCAGAGAGAACGAAGAAGUGAGCGAGAGACUCUGCAAUGUUUUCAACAAUAAUCGAUGCACAGUCAGUUGUCUGAUACAUUAUCUUAUCCGAGGUGUGCUGUGUACAUACAUUCGUUUCAGCAGCCGAGGAAAUACUUUGUUCACACAUGCCAAUGGAGUCGUCCAGACCAUAUGGACCUGGAUACAGUUGUGUUUGACUGUCAAAAGUAUUGCGAAAUAAGUCAAAGGAAGGUAUACAAAAAAUUGAGAGACAAACCGUCGACCAUCAGUAGUACUGAAUAAUCGGUAACAAACGACAAAAGACAGUGCUACACAAGAAUGCAAUAUAGGUAUACCAAGAAGGAAAAGGGUUGUCGCAUAGCCGGCAAUUCCCAAGACGUUGCAUCACGUAUGGAAAUUCUUUAUCGCGUGCGUAGGUAAAUCUCAACACCAUGCUUCUGCAUAGUCCCCCCUCUCUUUCUACCACUUGAAAAUUGUGGUCGGCCGGUAGCACGUGUAUGCCAGUCUAGUAAAGCAGUCCUCGUUGAUGUAUAAAUAAGUCGUACAGUACGAAAGUCAAUUCACUCUUGAUUCGCCGCCCGACGACUACUUAGUGGAAUCAUUGAAGAUCCUAAUAAGAAGUAGAUUAAAGAUCAGUCUCGUGCAACGGGCAGGUGAUACGAGUAAAAGUAAAAUAAUACGAAGUGAACCCUGUGAUGAAAAUAGAUUAGGAUCAAAAAUAGAAAUAAGGAAAGUUAAAUCCCAGUGAGAAAUUCAGCACCAGUGUCUACGAUAUUUAUUAAAUAUUUUUCACAAUGAAUAUCUCUUGGUCCCUGAACGUGCUCAUUCUUCUGACUUUUGAGCGAUUAGUGAUAUGCGCACCGUCCGCAGGUGAUAAGAAAAUAAAAAAGAUACAUUUUAAGCAAGUUAUGAACAUGUCUAUAAUAUUCAAGUGUACCAAUCCUCAAGAACGAUCUUAUUACCUGGCG